GAUGAACGCUGGCGGCGUGCCUAAUACAUGCAAGUCGAGCGAACGGACGAGAAGCUUGCUUCUCUGAUGUUAGCGGCGGACGGGUGAGUAACACGUGGAUAACCUACCUAUAAGACUGGGAUAACUUCGGGAAACCGGAGCUAAUCCCGGAUAAUAUUUUGAACCGCAUGGUUCAAAAGUGAAAGACGGUCUUGCUGUCACUUAUAGAUGGAUCCGCGCUGCAUUAGCUAGUUGGUAAGGUAACGGCUUACCAAGGCAACGAUGCAUAGCCGACCUGAGAGGGUGAUCGGCCACACUGGAACUGAGACACGGUCCAGACUCCUACGGGAGGCAGCAGUAGGGAAUCUUCCGCAAUGGGCGAGAGCCUGACGGAGCAACGCCGCGUGAGUGAUGAAGGUCUUCGGAUCGUAAAACUCUGUUAUUAGGGAAGAACAUAUGUGUAAGGAACUGUGCACAGCUUGACGGUACCUAAUCAGAAAGCCACGGCUAACUACGUG
rnacentral:rRNA from 1 species